rnacentral:rRNA from 1 species
AGAGUUUGAUCAUGGCUCAGAACGAACGCUGGCGGCGUGCCUAACACAUGCAAGUCGAGCGCGAAUGGAGCAAUCCUAGUAGAGCGGCGCACGGGUGCGUAACACGUGGAUAAUCUGCCUGGAAGAUCGGAAUAACCUGCCGAAAGGCAAGCUAAUACCGGAUAAGCCCACAGGGACUUCGGUCCUCGAGGGAAAAGGUGGCCUCUGUAUACAAGCUAUCACUUCCAGAUGAGUCCGCGGCCCAUCAGCUAGUUGGCGGGGUAACGGCCCACCAAGGCAACGACGGGUAGCUGGUCUGAGAGGACGAUCAGCCACACUGGAACUGAGACACGGUCCAGACUCCUACGGGAGGCAGCAGUGGGGAAUUUUGCACAAUGGGCGAAAGCCUGAUGCAGCAACGCCGCGUGUGUGAUGAAGGUCUUCGGAUUGUAAAGCACUUUCGACCGGUACGAAAACCCGUUGGUUAACAUCCAAUGGCUUGACGGUACCGGGAGAAGAAGCACCGGCUAACUUUGUGACGCAGCCG